CAUGUUCGUUUUCGUCUCUUCAGAAGCAAAAAGCAACUGAUGCAUGUGUAAACGAUUCAUUGUCGCCUUUACAAAAAAGAAGAAGACAAAACUCAACUCCGCUCAAUGAUUCUUUUGGUCCCUCAAGUUCUUCAGCAGAAGUGCCAAUUAAAUUUGCCAAUUUCGAGAGAUGUCAAUCAGGAAGACAUCAAUCAUGUUUCGAUAAAACACAGCAAUUUCUGUUGCGCUGCAUAUCGACAAAAUAACGCUUUACAGUUGAAAAAAGUAUUACGCCAACUGUAUGGAAUUACUUUAUUGCUGCAAAAUUAUGAAUCAGACAACGCAAAAGGUGCAGUAGCUACAAAGACCUCAUUUGUAGCUGAAUUGCCGCUUCAAACAUUACAACAAUUCACAGAAUUUGAGAAAAAGUUAAAUGAAGAUCUUCAAUUACGAAAUAAUUUUGAAGGUAUGAUACUUCGCUUUGGAGGAGAAACAGCUAUCAAACAUUUAAAAAACAUAUUAAAGUACACUUUUACAACUGAAAUGAGAAAUCUACUGUGUUGGUCUGGUCAGAAGGGUCGCGUAGGACUUAAAACUAGUCUGACAGCAAAAGUUAUAAUUGAGACUAUCGAAGAAGUUCGCGAACAUCACUAUUAGAGAACUAGAAAUAUGUUUUCAAGAAUGGUUGCGUCGAGGUGGAGAUCAACUUCGUUGUAUGCAAAAAUUUGCAAUGGUAUCCCCAGGAGGCCUAGUCCAAACAAAAAUUUAGAAGACAUUCACGAAAAGAGAAAUGAAAUAUCAAUGUCGAUGAAUUUUUGAAGAAUCAUUUUCGUUUUAUUAUGAAACAACUUUUAUGUUUGUGAUUAUUGAAAUAAGAAAGAAAUAGUAAAAAGUGAAUUUGAAAUUAGUAA
rnacentral:misc_RNA from 1 species